rnacentral:rRNA from 1 species
CAGCCGCCGCGGUAAUACGUAGGUGGCAAGCGUUGUCCGGAUUUAUUGGGCGUAAAGCGAGCGCAGGCGGUUUCUUAAGUCUGAUGUGAAAGCCCCCGGCUCAACCGGGGAGGGUCAUUGGAAACUGGGAAACUUAAGUGCAGAAGAGGAGAGUGGAAUUCCAUGUGUAGCGGUGAAAUGCGUAGAUAUAUGGAGGAACACCAGUGGCGAAGGCGGCUCUCUGGUCUGUAACUGACGCUGAGGCUCGAAAGCGUGGGGAGCAAACAGGAUUAGAUACCCCCGUAGUCCCUGUCUCUUAUAC